rnacentral:tRNA from 1 species
UCCGCGAUAGCUCAACGGUAGAGCAGGUGACUGUUAAUCACUUGGUUCCAGGUUCGAAUCCUGGUCGCGGAG